UGUUCGUUAAAACUUCAAAGUGAGGUUGUGUUGGCUUAUCUGUGGAUGACGAUUGACAUUUUGAACGGCCUUGGGAGAGACCUAUUUGAAAGAUGCAGCAUAAUUAUCGAUCUCAACAAUGGAAAAUUGGUCGUAUAUGUGUUUUCGGCCCUAAUGCUCUCUCCUUCACAUUAACAUUCCCAUGCAACUUCACAUUCACUGCCGGGUAUCAAUCCACGCGUUUAUAAAUUUAUACCAGAAUGCUUGCCACGAAUAUAUUCGUAGAAUCAAGAGAUCUCAAUCCGUUGAAAUUCACAAGCAUCAACAGUCUUUGCUCUGUUUCUAUCUUCUAUUGAGUAUGGUCGAAUUGCAUGCACCAUGGUUUCAAGGGGCCACGCUUGUUUUUUGACGCUCUCCACAUCUACGUUCAUUUUUUCCCUAUACUUUCUUAACAUUGUUCGUCCGAUUUUGUCGAUCUUAUAGUCGACCCCAUAGUUACGGACCUGUUUGAAGCGGCAAAAACUUUUUAUUGCGAAACAAUUGUGUCAAACUGUAAGAAAUCCAGAAGUUUUCACAUGCAUCAGUAAGUUGAGACGUCAACUUGUUACGGCAAAGCACAGUACGGACAUGGUUCAAAAUUGUCAUUUUGACUAGUGAGGAUGACAGAUGAACAUGAAAACUAACUUGGAUACCGAAUAUGGAUUGAAUAAAGAGAAUUGGAUUGCAAUUGUGACUUCCUUCAUUUCUCCUAUCGUAUUCCGAAUAUCUAUUCUCUCUAUUUUUAUAGCAAUUCUUUCAUUUCAUUAAUCUUUCAUUAUACAUGUUCAUUAUAGAUCAUCUUCAAGAUACAGUACUUUCAGACAUAACCUUACUUUAGUUUCGUUAAAUGUUUCGUUUAUUCAUUCAUUUGUACGAGAUUUUUUUAACGUGGAUGGCAUUUCUUGACGUGGAUGUCAUUUCAAACGGCCUUGAAGAUGAUCUAUACAGUACUCGUCAACACUGCGUGCAAAUCGAUAGUUAAAUUCUUUCGACAUACGACAUGUGUCACAACUGGGAUCGUAUCUGCCGAUUGGAAGGUCAUGAAAAUGAUGUAUGGAGAAAUGAGAGACAAACGAGAAAUAUGAAUUGAUAAAGCUCAAAACACACGAUGAGCCUAAUGCAGCGGCACUUUCAAGUGUUCGUUGGUGUAAAUGUUAAAAAUUCCUAAAAUCUUCAAACUUAUGUUUUUUAAAGAUUUUAACAAUUGAAAUUCCGAAUAACAGGACCUGCCAAAUAAUGUCGGCCAAAAAAGAUUUACCAUUCGGUUUCGCAUGUCUUCAAUUUGCUUUAACUUACCAUUAAAUUAUAGGGUCCACACUAAAAUACUAUGUGCAAACUGUGUUAUGAAAAAGUCGUUUAUUAAUUGAUUAAAUAUUUUUAUUAUAUAAGUAAAGUAACAUCUUCGUAAAUCCGUAUGUAAGGGGUCAUUCACAAAUUACGCACGCCGAAAAUUAAGAAUUUCAGACAUCCUGUCCCCUACGUACGCAAGAAUGUAUGGAGAAAAUUAGAGGGUGCGUAAUUUGUGAAUGCCCCCAAAGUAGUGAUGUGAUUGUGUAAGUGGGCCAGCUGUUAAACAAGCUGAAUCAAACGCAGCCACAAUUUUGGUUGACAGUAACUGUAAUUAAAAAAAAGACAUUCGAAAUAUACGCCAGAGGAUUGUGUUUAAAAGGAAAAAGAAAAAUGGAAUUUACUUACUUGAUACCCAUCAUUAAUAUAUAAAUGCAAAGACAAUUCGUUCUUCCACAUCAAAGUCCCAAACAUUCUUUUCUUUCACUAAUUCAUAACAGUUCAUUUUUAGAAUUUUUAAACGAAACAUUCACAGUAAGAUAGCCUUUUCAAACUGUUGUUGUAGGUUAAUUUAUUUCGCUCUCUAACGGAACACCAACCUCUUCUUCUUUUCAAGAGAACGAGUUUGGGAAUUUGCGUCGGUUUCACACAAAUUUUCGCUGCUAUGUUGAAGCGGGAAAAGUGGCCUAUCACCAAAGCACCAAAGCUGAGAGUCACGUCAGUCAAAUAAAGGGUUAGAGUGGCUUUAUACAAACUGUCAACUAAAAUACAAAAAAAAGCUAAUAAAACGGAGACGUAAACGGAGUGCACUUACAACUUAAUCCGUACUUCACUCUAUUUACUCGUCGUUUAUGUUACAACAAUCUAUCCGUUUGUAUUGUUUUUUUGAAAAAUCAGUGAGUUAACGUAGUUAAAUGCGGGUUCAGAGUUGAUUGAUUUUUGCUCCCUAUUUGACUUAUGUGACUCUUUGCUUCAGUACUAGAGAAAAAGCAUUGUUUUGUGUCAUUUUUUCCGCUUCACUCGGAGGUGUAUAUUUAGCUUAAUGGAAAAUAUAUGUUCUAAUAUGUUCGAAUAUCCAAGCUCGUUUUCUUAAAGUUAGAAUACUUAAAUUAGAAAAAGGAACUUCUUUAGCUUAAUAUUUACACUGUAUGCACAUGAUAAAUAGUUCGCCAAAAAUAAAUUAUUUUUUAUUGAAAA